rnacentral:rRNA from 1 species
CCUACGUGAGGCAGCAGUGGGGAAUAUUGCGCAAUGGGCGAAAGCCUGACGCAGCGACGCCGCGUGAGGGAUGAAGGUCUUCGGAUCGUAAACCUCUGUCAGCAGGGAAGAACGGUCACUGUGCUAAUCAGCAGUGAAUUGACGGUACCUGCAAAGGAAGCACCGGCUAACUCCGUGCCAGCAGCCGCGGUAAUACGGAGGGUGCGAGCGUUACUCGGAAUUACUGGGCGUAAAGCGCUCGUAGGCGGUAUGUCAAGUCAAGGGUGAAAUCCCCGCGCUAAACGUGGGAACUGCCUUUGAAACUGGCAAACUGGAGUGUGUGAGAGGAUAGUGGAAUGCCAGGGGGAGGAGUGAAAUCCGUAGAUAUCUGGAGGAACAUCAGUGGCGAAGGCGACUAUCUGGCACAUAACUGACGCUGAGGAGCGAAAGCGUGGGUAGCAAACAGGAUUAGAUACCCGAGUAGUC